GAGGUUGUGGCUCUGUGGUAGAGCGCUUGCCUUGCAUGUGUGGGGCACUGGGUUCAAUCCUCAGCACCACA
rnacentral:tRNA from 1 species